UACGAAGGGGGCUAGCGUUGCUCGGAAUUACUGGGCGUAAAGCGCACGUAGGCGGAUUGUUAAGUCGGGGGUGAAAUCCUGGAGCUCAACUCCAGAACUGCCUUCGAUACUGGCGAUCUCGAGUUCGGGAGAGGUGAGUGGAACUGCGAGUGUAGAGGUGAAAUUCGUAGAUAUUCGCAAGAACACCAGUGGCGAAGGCGGCUCACUGGCC
rnacentral:rRNA from 1 species